rnacentral:rRNA from 1 species
AUUGAACGCUGGCGGCGUGCUUAACACAUGCAAGUCGAGCGGUAACAGGCGUAGCAAUACGUGCUGACGAGCGGCGAACGGGUGCGUAAUACAUGGGAAUCUGCCCUUUGGUGGGGAAUAACCCGGCGAAAGCCGGGCUAAUGCCGCAUGAGAUCUGAGGAUGAAAGCGGGGGAUCGUAAGACCUCGCGCCGAUGGAUGAGCCCAUGUCGGAUUAGCUAGUUGGUGAGGUAACGGCUCACCAAGGCGACGAUCCGUAGCUGGUCUGAGAGGACGGCCAGCCACACUGGGACUGAGACACGGCCCAGACUCCUACGGGAGGCAGCAGUGGGGAAUAUUGGACAAUGGGCGAAAGCCUGAUCCAGCGACGCCGCGUGUGUGAAGAAGGCCUGCGGGUUGUAAAGCACUUUCGAUGGGAACGAAAUGUGCCGGGCUAAUACCCCGGCAAGCUGACGUUACUCAAUGAAGAAGCACCGGCUAACUCUGUGCCAGCCGCCGCUGUAAAAC